GAUUUUCAGAUAUUUUAGAAUGUUUGUUAAUAUGUAUUUCUAUGCGUAAAAAGAUGGGAACAUAUAUCCACAUGGCACAUGCAAAUUAUAUAUUGGCGUGUUGUGUUUUUGAGAUGAUUGUAUUUAAUUUAUGUGCAUAUAACUUAUUUUCACACUUGCAUUAUCCAGCGCAAGUAUCAUGAGCCCUUUAAUUGUAUUUUUCUAUUGUAUGGUCUUAAAGACAUGAAUCCCUCUCUGCCACAUCUAGAUUUCAAAUUUCUCCUUUUGAUUUCACUUGGGCUACACUGUCUGAUGUCUGAACUCAUCUAUGUGGAUAUUUUGCUUUUGGUUUCAAGAUAGUUUUCACUUGAUAUUUAUUCAAGUCAAAU
rnacentral:misc_RNA from 1 species